rnacentral:lncRNA from 1 species
CUACACCGAGGGGUGCUUGCCAGAAGCAUGGAUGGGUCUGAAGCCAAGGUGCAGAUGUGGUUUAACAACAGGAGAGCCAAACAGAGGGCCAGGGAGAAGAAAGCAAUGCUCAGGAGCACAGCAGGUGCAAAAGCCCCCCUGGUCUUCCCUGCUGGUGAGGAAAGAAAUGGGGAAGAUUCGCAUGACUGGUGGUCCCCUGGGCUGGGAGCCUGGGCAGCAGAAUGGGGCGGAGUAGAAGGACCAGGGGAACUGGGGAGAAAGGAGAAGAAUGGAGCCAGUCCUUCUGCUGUAGACACCUCUGGCGUCAGGGGUGACUGGACCCAAAAGGGUGCCAGCAGCAGUAGCCAGAAAAAUGAGCGUCGGCCUCAGAAGCGGGUCCCUUUGUGUAGGUGGGGCACCGAGGACGUGCACCCUGUGCCAGUGCUGGUGCCUCGUGCCCAGCGGAGGCAGCGUGUGGUAUCCCGAUCCCGGGGACAGUCUGUGUCUCUAAAGUACCCCGCAUACGGCCGGUUUUGGUGUCCACUGUACAGCCUGUGCCAGUGCUGGUGCCCCACCGCCCCCUCCGGGACAGAUUUACAGAGCCACAGCUGCAGGAGCUGGAACAGGUUUUCCAGAGAAACCACUGUCUCCGUGCUGAAGAAGGAAAACAGCUGGCAAGGGGAAUGGGUGUGACUGAGGCCAAGUUGCAGAGAUGGUUUAAGAAGAGGAGAGUGCAGUUCAGGAGAGAACACAGUCAGUCAAGGAUGAAUGAUGAUGCCCCACCCAGGACCCACUCCACCUCUCUGAAGAUGGCGCAGGAGCCCUAG